rnacentral:rRNA from 1 species
UACCGUCCUAGUUUUGACAGCAAACAAUGCUACCACGGGAUCAGUCCGGAACGAUCCAGGUUGGUCCCCCCGGGAAACCUAAAGGGUUCUAGUUCUGGGGGGAGUAUGGUCGCAAGGCUGAAACUUAAAGGAAUUGACGGAAGGGCACCACCAGGAGUGGAGCCUGCGGCUUAAUUUGACUCAACACGGGACAACUCACCAGGUCCAGACAUUGAAAGGAUUGACAGACUGAGAGAUCUUUCAUGAUACAGUGAAUGGUGGUGCAUGGCCGUUCUUAGUUGGUGGAGUGAUCUGUCAGGUCUAUUCCGGUAACGAGCGAGACCACGAUCUCUAUUUUAUUAAUGCGUUAUUUUUAAUUUUUAUUAAAUAUACGUUUACGUUUUAUUAUAGAGAGACUACUGGAAGUAAAGCCAGGGGAAGCGUGGCAAUAACAGGUCUGUGAUGCCCUUCGAUGUCCUGGGCUGCACGCGCGCUACAAUGGCAGUAACAAAGAGUAGACCUGCUUUGAAAAAAGUGGGAAAUCUUGUAAAUUACUGUCGUAAUUGGGAUUGAGCCUUGUAAUUAUUGCUCAUGAAAGAGGAAUCCUCGUAAG